AACGAACGCUGGCGGCAUGCCUAACACAUGCAAGUCGAACGAAACCUUCGGGUCUUGUGGCGCACGGGUGCGUAACGCGUGGGAACCUGCCCUUAGGUUCGGAAUAACUCCCCGAAAGGGGUGCUAAUACCGGAUAAUGUCUUCGGACCAAAGAUUUAUCGCCUUUGGUUGGGCCCGCGUUGGAUUAGCUGGUUGGUAGGGUAAAAGCAUACUAAGGCGACCAUCCACAGCUGGUCUGAGAGGAUGGUCAGCCACACUGGGACUGGGACACGGCCCAGACUCCUACGGGAGGCAGCAGUGGGGAAUAUUGGAACAUGGGCGAAAGCCUGAUGCAGCAAUGCCGCGUGAGUGAUGAAGGCCUUAGGGUUGUAAAGCUCUUUUACCCGGGAUGAUAAUGACAGUACCGGGAGAAUAAGCCCCGGCUAACUCCGUG
rnacentral:rRNA from 1 species